rnacentral:rRNA from 1 species
AACCUGGGGCUCAACUCUGGGCGUGCGGUCGAUACGGGCAUCACUGGAGUUCGGCAGGGGAGACUGGAAUUCCUGGUGUAGCGGUGAAAUGCGCAGAUAUCAGGAGGAACACCGGUGGCGAAGGCGGGUCUCUGGGCCGAUACUGACGCUGAGGAGCGAAAGCAUGGGUAGCGAACAGGAUUAGAUACCCUGGUAGUCCAUGCCGUAAACGAUGACCACCAGAUGUGGGGGGUAUCGACCCCUUCCGCGUCGGCGCCAACGCAAUGAGUGGUCCGCCUGGGGAGUACGGUCGCAAGAUUAAAACUCAAAGGAAUUGACGGGGACCCGCACAAGCAGCGGAGCGUGUGGUUUAAUUCGAAGCAACGCGAAGAACCUUACCAGGGUUUGACAUGCAUGCGACACGCUCAGAGAUGAGCCUUCCUUCGGGACGCAUGCACAGGUGCUGCAUGGCUGUCGUCAGCUCGUGCCGUGAGGUGUUGGGUUAAGUCCCGCAACGAGCGCAACCCUCGUGCUCGGUUACUGGUGUCCGAGCAGACUGCCGCGAUCAACGUGGAGGAAGGUGGGGAUGACGUCAAGUCAGCACGGCCCUGACAUCCUGGGCGACACACACGCUACAAUGGCAAGGACAGAGAGUUGCCAACCCGCGAGGGGGAGCUAAUCUCAGCAAAGCUUGUCUCAGUUCGGAUUGUAGGCUGCAACCCGCCUGCAUGAAGUUGGAGUUGC